UACGAAGGGAGCUAGCGUUGUUCGGAAUCACUGGGCGUAAAGCGCACGUAGGCGGAUGUGUCAGUCAGGGGUGAAAUCCCGGAGCUCAACUUCGGAACUGCCUUUGAUACAGCACGUCUUGAGUCCGAUAGAGGUGGGUGGAAUUCCUAGUGUAGAGGUGAAAUUCGUAGAUAUUAGGAAGAACACCGGUGGCGAAGGCGGCCCACUGGAUCGGUACUGACGCUGAUGUGCGAAAGCGUGGGGAGCAAACAGG
rnacentral:rRNA from 1 species